CAGAGGGUGCGAGCGUUAAUCGGAAUUACUGGGCGUAAAGCGUGCGUAGACGGCUAUCUAAGUCGGGUGUGAAAGCCCCGGGCUCAACCUGGGAAUUGCAUUCGAGACUGAAUAGCUAGGGUACGGUAGAGGGAAGUGGAAUUUCCGGUGUAGCGGUGAAAUGCGUAGAUAUCGGAAGGAACAUCAGUGGCGAAAGCGACUUCCUGGACCAGUACCGACGUUCAAGCACGAAAGCGUGGGGAGCAAACAGGAUUAGAUACCCUGGUAGUCCACGCCAUAAACGAUGAGGACUAGACGUUGGAGGGGUAAGCCUUUCAGUGUCGUAGCUAACGCGCUAAGUCCUCCGCCUGGGGAGUACGGCCGCAAGGUUG
rnacentral:rRNA from 1 species